CCCCUCUCAGGGCUGCACCUGGAGAGUUUCUAGUACUCUACCAGUUUUGGCUACAGGAGGAGUGAGUCAAGCAGAGACAGAUCCAUUCCGUUCCUAGCUUCGGCAGUGGCUGGUGAGUGGAAUGCCAUCUGCUACAAGU